AUGAGCCAUGAAUCUUUUCAUCUACUCCUUGGUCUUCCAUUAGGUGGCACCUCAGUUUUAUUUGACAGUGAGGUGACUAAAGCAGCUUUCCUCAAUAUUAUUGGUGAACCUACACUGCCUUCUAUCAAGUGGUUUGGGUUGAGGAUGCUCAAGCCUGAUAUAUCUGACAUUGAUUUUCUGAGAUGUUUUCUCCUAGUUGCCUUUGCAACUAUUUUGUGCCCCAACUCAAAUAUCUACCCCAGCACAAAAUACCUAGGAAUUCUUAUUGAUCCAACUCAAGUUAUAAACUAUGAUUUAUCAUAG
rnacentral:rRNA from 1 species